CUGAGUUUGUAAGAAACAGAUUUUCUCUGGCCCAUCUCCUGGGCCUCCUGAACUUCUAGAACCUUUACAGGGAUGGGCUCAGGAGUCUGUAGUUAAGUCAACACCUUGGGUAAUCUACACCAGCACUUUUCAAACUUCCGUGUGCAUAUAGAUCACCAGAGAGAAAGCCUGUUAGACAGGCAGAUUCCCAGUCUCCAGCACCUGGAGUUGAGAUUGUUGAGUUCAGAUUGUUGAGACCGAGGUAGGGUUCCGGAAUGUAACGUUUCAGUAGCCACUGUGGAUGAUUCUGAUGUGGGUGAUUUGGGGCCCUCAUUUUGAGAAGCACUCAUGUGCAUUCUCUCUGGAGGCUCCUAAUCAAGAGUGACCGCUAGAAACAUUUGAGGAGCUUUCUAAAAAUACAGGUUCUUUGGACAGCCCUGUGGACCAAAGAAUCAAGAUCUCCAAGGGAUGUGACUGAGAAAUGUAUAUGUUAAAAUCAUCCUGAAUGAUUCUCACAAUCAUCAAAGUUUGGGAAUCACUGAUCUUGUCUAAUUCCCUUCUUUUAUGGAUGAGUGAACUAUAGCCCAUAUAGGAGUUUUGUUGUUCAGUCACUCAGUAGUGUCUGACUCUUUGUGACCCCAUGGACUGCAGCACUCCAGGCUUCUCUGUCCUUCACUGUUUCCCAGAGUUUGCUCAAACUCAUGUCCAUUGAGUUGAUGAUGCCAUCCAAUUAUUUCAUUGUCUGUUGCCCCCUUCUCCUCCUGCCCUCAAUCUUUCCCAGCAUCAGGAUCUUUUCCAGUGAGUCAUCUCUUCCCAUAUAAGACAAUUGGUGCAGAUCACAUAGCUGGUUUCCAGCAGGUCUAUGAAGAGAAACCUGGACCUUUGACUCUUAACUUACGAUGUGUUUCAUUACACUGCUGUUUUCUACAAGCUGUAUAGUGAGGCAGAAUCACUGAAAUACUGUCUCUAGCACAUAAAGAAAUCCUGAAGAGUAUUUCAAAAGUGUCUAAAUUUAAUGAUUUAAUUAUUUUAUCCAAUAAAAUGUGGGAUUCACAUAUAAAUAUUCUGGGGGCUUAAUCUAACAAACCCUAAACAAGGAAUUGAUUUUAUUUAAUGGAAUGGCAGCACAUGAAAUGCUUUUAAAAUUUAAAGGGAUGUUCCUGUCACUGAGUACAUUAUAAUUCUAAUUAGAUUUCCACUGAUGAGACUGGAGUUUUAUCUGUUCUCUAUUUCAGGCUUCAAGUGCUUGGGAAUCUCAGUCAACAGUGCACAUAGACUUUAGAAAAUGUCUAGUUCUCGUCACCAGAACUGGAGUCCAUGGUUAUCUAUACUCUGGGCCAACUUACAACGCUUUUGACACUAAUUACGAUCUUCUGAAGAUUAAGCACUAUGAGAGCAGGGAUCGUGAUAUUUUCUCCCCAGCACUUGGUACGACACCUGGCACAGAGCAGGAAUUUGAUAAAUGUUUGUUGAAAGAAAGAAAAAAAAAAAAGCAUCAUCUUGGUGCCUCUCUAGACUCUAAAAGUUAUAAGGGCAGGAACCAGGCUGUCUUAUUCUUCACUGUAUCUCCCAGCAUAAUAUCUGAGAUUUUGGUAAGUGAUUCAUACUCUUAGUGGAAUCAAUAAAGGAAGCAACACAAGUGAGAGAAAUAUUGUAGAACUGGCUUUGAAGCUGAUAAAUUUCAGGAAACACUUCCAUUAAGUUCAGCAUAAACAGAUUGCAAUUAAUGCUAUCUGCAAAGGUUUUAAUACAUUCCCUUCCAUCCAAGGGCUCUCUGACUCUUCUCUUCCUCUACCAACUAGAAACUUAAAAGGUAUAAACAAUCUGCCCAUUUCUUAAAACCAGGUAUUGGUAGCUACUAGCCUAGAACAUAAAAUGAGACCACUCAUUUUGAAAAAGAUUACAGUAUAGUCUUUUCAGAUAGAAUUACCAGCCUUCCAGAAACUCCUUACCAUCCCAAGCAACUGAAAGCAAAAACUGGUAACUGUAGUUUCUGCCCAGUGGUAACACCUGCACAGCCCAUACAGGGAUGAAGUAUUUCAGCUAACAAAAUAUGAGCUGAUUCACUCACCAGCUACAUUAUGUUGCCUUAAAGGAGAAGCCCCAAUGUACAUCAUUGAGAAUAAAGGUGCCUUUCUGGCUGGAGACACAGCAGAGGCAUGGACAUAACGCACAGAAUCUGUGUGAGCUAAGCAUCUGCUAUAUUCUUGGCCUCAGGGAUCCAGAGAAUAAAAAUAAUGUUAAGCACAACAACAAGAAAAAACCCCCCACAAACAAAACCCACAGUCUCUGGCCUCAAGGUGUCAAGAGCAGAGAGUGAUGAGAAGUGAACAGACAACCUAAAACUUGUGGGGUAAGUACCAGGCAAAAGAUAGACACAAGUGUGGGGAGGGAGGGGGGAAGGAGAGUGUUUCCUCAAAGAGAUGGUACCAAAGCCGAGUCCUGGAGAAGCAUGGGUAGGUGAGUAAGUUGGGGACUGGUGUUUGGGUCGAUGGAGCUGCUGGGAUCAAGAUGCUACCUGUGUUUCUCUGUUAGUCUAUGAUAGCACUAACAGUGAUAAAAAUAAUAAUAAAACUCCCAAAAUAAAUUUCUUGGAGCAAACAGUAGGGGCCAGACACUGUAUUAAGAAACUUGCCUAUAUUAACUCAGAUAAUCCUCACAAAAGCCCUAUAACACAGGUACUGUGAAUAGUCUCAUUUUACAGUGAGGAAACUGAGGCAAAGGGUGGUCCAAGUGACCUACCCAAGGUCACAUGGCUAGUGACUGGUAGUUGGGAUUCCAAAUUGACUUAACCAGCCACUAGUGCCUAAAUUCUUAACUACUAUUAUCUACUAUGUGAAGAGACAGAAGAUAUGGUAAUUGUCCCCACCAGGUCUGUUAGCUAAGAGACUCACUCAGAUUUAAUCUGAAAGGCAGAAUAGAUUCCGUAUAGGAAUGGAAGUCAUUUGCCUGGGAAGCCAUGCUAUUAGGAUGAAGACCAAACUUUUCUAAUCAUGAAUUGUCAGGCCAUGCCUGAUCGGGCCCUGACUCACAGAUCCGUCUCUAUCUCAAUCCCUCUUAAUCUCCAUCUCAGUCUGGGCAGCCCCUUCAGUGGUUUUGGAGCCAGAUGAUGGCCACUUUGUUUGCCCCCUCCAAUUCUGCAGUGUUCAAGAGCAGCUUCACUCUUUCCUCACUCACGCCAGUUUUCAACACCAGAACAUUCAGAGUUGAGGCUGAAGCCCUCCAACAAUGACCUGAUGGCCUCUCCCAUCCAGCAGCGGGCGGCACCACUGAAGAAGACCUUUCAAACACACUCCUUUCCCCAGGAGACAUCUGGGCCAUAUUUUCACACACACUCUACCAAGAUAUGAUGAGAAACCAUCAGAUGAACAGCCUCCAGUACUGUUCUGACCUUCCCAUCUACGGACGUCACAAAAGAGAAAAUUUCUCUUUAGAAUGAGAAACAUAUUCCGGAGUCAGCUACGCUCCCUGACCCUGAAGAUACUUGGUUUUUUCCAGCUUUAAGACACUCUAACCUCAUGAUUCAGAGGAAGGUGGAAAAGUAGUUAAGAGCACAAGCCUGGGAUUGUGACUUUGGGCUGGUCAUGUAACCUCUCUGAGCCUCAGGUUUAGUAAUAAUAUCUCAUUUCACUGGGCUGUAUUAUGUAGCAAAGUAUCUGGCACAUGCACACUCAAUAAAUGUUAGCUUUUAUUAUAAUUAAAUUAUGAAGAAAGAAGUGAGCAAUCUGGAAAGAACUAUAGGCUGUGUGUUUGUAGAUGCAUAGGAAACAGUUGAAGAUGUCACAAAAGAUUUUACUGGGGUACAAAGGAAAUCCCACACUUGACAUACAGUCUUUAAAACAACUGACUGGCCUGUAUCUUUUGUAAGUUUUUAAAGAUAAAGUUAAUAAACAAUGAAAUAGCUACUUGGUACUUUCACAAAUUUGACUGCCAAUCAACAGCUCCUGCUUGAAAAGGGAAAUGGGGAGGGCCAACAUCCCAAACUGCCUGAGUUAGUGGGCUAAGACUUCACAAUGAAGGAGCUAUAUUUAGUCAGCGGCUGCCCCUGGCAUUCACAGUGAAAAAUGAAUGCCAUCAAGGUGGCAAGGCUACCACAGCUUGUGUCCAUCUGGGCAGUAUAUCUUCUUGAAAAGCAAGUUUUUUGUUUUGUUUUCUGUACAUUUGAUUGGUCUGUGUCAAAUCAUGCCCAAUACCUAAGACUUUGGGGGGGUGCCUAAAAAAAAAAAGACCCCUAACUAGAUCAUCAGAUAAGAUGCCUUUCCAAGGGAAAAGAAAAUGAAAAGAAGAGAUGCAAUCCUAUUCACCUAUGAUUUUUUUUAAGACAUUUUUUUAUUGCUCUUGGAAAUACGCAUUAAACAUGAAGCUAGGGGAAGGUUGACAAGGCAGCUGAUCCAGGCCUGUCCCACUCCAACUAAUUUUAACUUGGCAGAGUCUGUUCAGAGGCCAGUGCCCUCCACAUACCAAGCUGUUCCGAGUUCGUUAAGUAACACAUCCUGAGGCUCUGAGUAAUUGUCUACAGAACCCCACAAAUGAGAGUCCUUUUCUGCAAAGGGGCAAACAGCCUGAACCAUAACAGAAAUUAUGAACUCCUUUUCUCUCCCCUGAGCUGGCUAUCAGGUCCUACAUCCUCUCAACAACUGUCGCGUGCUCUUUGGCCAGGAUUCCUGUGUGAUUGAUCUGGGUGUGCCUGAGCUUGGUACAGAGAAGUGACUCAAUAAAUAAGCCAAAGAACAGUUAACCAACUUCAGAAACCACCCUACUCACCCUUCCCCACACCUUCCAAGUUUCGAUUUUUCCUUUCUCCCAGGCCAACUUUCUUUUUCCCUGUGUUCAAUUUCAAACAGAAAUGUCAGCCACUUCUUUAAUGACAAGUGGAUUCCUUUAUAAAGUCUGAGGGUGGCUUUUUCUUUAAAGAUGCAUGGGAUCAGCAAGAUGUAGAAUAGCACCACACCAUCUUGCAAAAGUGAGUGAAGUAUUUUUUAAGGGAUGACCUACAAGAAAAAGUGGUUUCUAGAAGAGCAGGUGUUGGGUAAAAUCGUAUAUAACACAGGACACUUAAUUUUAAGACCGGGUGCGAAGAUAAAGUAACCAUCCCUGGCAAGUCCUGAAAGAAAAAAAGAGCAAAAGGGACACCGUUUCUACAUGGCAGACUUCGCCCCAUACUGGGAGAUGCGCCACCAGGCUACACCCACCCUUUUGCUCUUAAGCUCAGCUUUCUCAUACAAUGUGGCAGGCGCUAGGCCGAGAAACUCAGAAAGAGCAACGCUUCUCUGAUGUCCUUUUUACUCUAACACCCCAGAACGCAAGUUCGGAUCCAUACCCUGGGGCCCCAAACCUUCCAGGACGGCGUCCGCCCCAGCCAGCUGCAGGAUAAGGUUACACCACUUUUCUCUUUCUUCUUAUUUUUAACAGACCGGGACGCGACAAAUAUCAACGACAGCAAAAGCGUAAUCGGGGCGGAGGAAGAAAAAAAAAAAAGUCAUUUUUUUCUUGCUAGAGGCUGGCAAUAUUUCCGCACUCCCUAGGACUCCUUUCACGCUUCAGCCCGAGGCGCAGAAAAGAAAAAGGACCCCAGAUUGCUGUGGCCUCGCCCUGCGAACAAGUGUCCACGGGUUUGCCCGCUUGCAAUUAUCAGGACAGGAGACCGGCGCGGAGAGCGUUUCCGCAUCCUGGGAUCCUGCACCCAGAGCCCGCUCCGUGCUGACCCCGAUCACUGCCCGGGAGGGGAACCC